rnacentral:misc_RNA from 1 species
AAGUCGUAACAAGGUUUCCGUAGGUGAACCUGCGGAAGGAUCAUUAUUGAAUAAACUUGGUUGGGUUGCUGCUGGCUCUUAGGAGCAUGUGCACGCUCACUCCAUUUUUUAACCACCUGUGCACAUAUUGUAGGCCUGAAUGGACAUUUCGAGGAAACUCGGUUUGAGAAUUGCUAUGAAAAUAAGCUGUUCUUGUAUAAUUCAGGUCUAUGUUUUAAAUCAUAUACACAAGUAACAGAAUGUAAAUCAUAGGCCUUCUGUGCCUUUAAAUCUAAUACAACUUUCAACAACGGAUCUCUUGGCUCUC